rnacentral:rRNA from 1 species
UACGAAGGGGGCUAGCGUUGUUCGGAUUCACUGGGCGUAAAGGGUGCGUAGGUGGUGAGGUAAGUCGGAUGUGAAAGCUCCGAGCUCAACUCGGAAAUGGCAUUGGAAACUACCUUGCUAGAGGGUUUGAGGGGGGACUGGAAUACUUGGUGUAGCAGUGAAAUGCGUAGAUAUCAAGUAGAACACCAGUGGCGAAGGCGAGUCCCUGGAAAACUCCUGACACUGAGGCACGGAAAGCUAGGGGAGCAAACAGG